rnacentral:rRNA from 1 species
GAUGAACGCUGGCGGCGUGCCUAAUACAUGCAAGUCGAGCGAACGGACGAGAAGCUUGCUUCUCUGAUGUUAGCGGCGGACGGGUGAGUAACACGUGGAUAACCUACCUAUAAGACUGGGAUAACUUCGGGAAACCGGAGCUAAUACCGGAUGAUAUUUUGAACCGCAUGGUUCAAAAGUGAAAGACGGUCUUGCUGUCACUUAUAGAUGGAUCCGCGCUGCAUUAGCUAGUUGGUAAGGUAACGGCUUACCAAGGCAACGAUGCAUAGCCGACCUGAGAGGGUGAUCGGCCACACUGGAACUGAGACACGGUCCAGACUCCUACGGGAGGCAGCAGUAGGGAAUCUUCCGCAAUGGGCGAAAGCCUGACGGAGCAACGCCGCGUGAGUGAUGAAGGUCUUCGGAUCGUAAAACUCUGUUAUUAGGGAAGAACAUAUGUGUAAGUAACUGUGCACAUCUUGACGGUACCUAAUCAGAAAGCCACGGGUUAACUACGUGCCAGCAGCCGCGGUAAUACGUAGGUGGCAAGCGUUAUCCCGGAUUAUUGGGCGUAAAGCGCGCGUAGGCGGUUUUUUAGUCUGAUGUGAAAGCCCACGGCUCAACCGUGGAGGGUCAUUGGAAACUGGAAAACUUGAGUGCAGAAGAGGAAAGUGGAAUUCCAUGUGUAGCGGUGAAAUGCGCAGAGAUAUGGAGGAACACCAGUGGCGAAGGCGACUUUCUGGUCUGUAACUGACGCUGAUGUGCGAAAGCGUGGGGAUCAAACAGGAUUAGAUACCCUGGUAGUCCACGCCGUAAACGAUGAGUGCUAAGUGUUAGGGGGUUUCCGCCCCUUAGUGCUGCAGCUAACGCAUUAAGCACUCCGCCUGGGGAGUACGACCGCAAGGUUGAAACUCAAAGGAAUUGACGGGGACCCGCACAAGCGGUGGAGCAUGUGGUUUAAUUCGAAGCAACGCGAAGAACCUUACCAAAUCUUGACAUCCUUUGACAACUCUAGAGAUAGAGCCUUCCCCUUCGGGGGACAAAGUGACAGGUGGUGCAUGGUUGUCGUCAGCUCGUGUCGUGAGACGUUGGGUUAAGUCCCGCAACGAGCGCAACCCUUAAGCUUAGUUGCCAUCAUUAAGUUGGGCACUCUAAGUUGACUGCCGGUGACAAACCGGAGGAAGGUGGGGAUGACGUCAAAUCAUCAUGCCCCUUAUGAUUUGGGCUACACACGUGCUACAAUGGACAAUACAAAGGGCAGCGAAACCGCGAGGUCAAGCAAAUCCCAUAAAGUUGUUCUCAGUUCGGAUUGUAGUCUGCAACUCGACUACAUGAAGCUGGAAUCGCUAGUAAUCGUAGAUCAGCAUGCUACGGUGAAUACGUUCCCGGGUCU